GACCUGGUGGUGAAAUGUUAUCACACCUGUUUGCCUUAUUGGAUUGGCGCUCGUUGUAUUUAUGGGAGGUCCCAGUUCGAGUCUGGGCCAGGUCA